GCCCAAAAACAAAUGGUCUAAAGUACGAUCCAUUCCAGUUUCCAAUUACCGCAAGGACCAUCACCAUGUGAGCCCUAAUUUCGCACUUCUCUCACAAUGUAGCCAACAACAAUGUAGAAAUAAUCUGACGGUUUACGCAACUGUCUAUUUAAGACAAUGUUCUUGGAAUAAGGGUACAGAUUAUAAGCAGAUUCAGAAGGAUAAAGUAAUCAACACGACAUAAUCAAAAGACAAAGACGAUGGCUUGAAGCGCAAGUCAUCACCCCUUCAAGCAUUUUCACAACUUGAAAGACUUGUUAAUCAUUGCGCCUCCAUCACAUCGAAAACUGCCUCCAGCCUCGGGUCUACAAUCACUAGGAACGACUGAGAUUGAAAAUCAAGAACCAUUUUAAGUAUCCAAUCGAGAAAAAGCUGGACUACUUCAAUAACGGCGUCUAGUAGAUACAAAAUAAGGCAGAUUCGAGAAAUGCGAAAAUAAAUUGUAAAUUGCAAAGAAGAAGAUACAUGUUAUUGAUGAUCAUGUUGUUGCUCUUAUUGUUGAAGAAGAGAGGCGAAGUGGAGCAUUUUGAGAUCAUG
rnacentral:lncRNA from 1 species